GAAGCAGUUUGAAUUUGGGAUUCAGGGGCUGGGUGGUGGGAAUUCAGGGUAUCCGAAGCUGGGAUCCAAGCACCCUAAACCCCAAGAAGGACUCAAUUGAGGGGCCCUGGCUGUGCAUACAAGUUCUGCUGUAAUCUGCAUUCCUGUUGUCCAAUAAACCUUCUGUUUUAC